CCUACGGGUGGCAGCAGUGGGGGAUAUUGCACAAUGGGGGAAACCCUGAUGCAGCGACGCCGCGUGGGUGAAGAAGCGCCUCGGCGCGUAAAGCUCUGUCAGCAGGGAAGAAAAUGACGGUAUCUGUAGAACAAGCCAUGGCUAACUACGUGCCAGCAGCCGCGGUAAUACGUAGGGGGCCAGCGUUAUCCGGAGUUACUGGGGGGAAAGGGGGCGCAGGCGGGGAGGCAAGCCAGGAGUGAAAGCCCGGGGACCAACCCCGGGACUGCGCUUGGUACUGGGUGGCUAGAGUGCAGGAGGGGCAGGCGGAAUUCCUGGUGUAGCGGUGAAAUGCGUAGAUAUCAGGAGGAACACCGGUGGCGAAGGCGGCCUGCUGGACUGCAACUGACGUUGAGGCCCGAAAGCGUGGGGAGCAAACAGGAUUAGAUACCCCAGUAGUC
rnacentral:rRNA from 1 species